UGGGGAAUUUUGCGCAAUGGGGGAAACCCUGACGCAGCAACGCCGCGUGGAGGAUGAAGUAUCUUGGUACGUAAACUCCUUUCGACCGGGACGAUAAUGACGGUACCGGAAGAAGAAGCCCCGGCUAACUUCGUGCCAGCAGCCGCGGUAAUACGAGGGGGGCAAGCGUUGUUCGGAAUUAUUGGGCGUAAAGGGUGCGUAGGCGGCCCCGCAAGUCUUGUGUGAAAUCUCUGGGCUCAACUCAGAGUCUGCACAGGAAACUGCUGGGCUGGAGUAUGGGAGAGGUGAGUGGAAUUCCCGGUGUAGCGGUGAAAAUGCGUAGAUAUCGGGAGAACACCUGUGGCGAAAGCGGCUCACUUGGACCAUAACUGACGCUGAGGCACGAAAGCUAGGGGAGCAAACA
rnacentral:rRNA from 1 species